UUCAGUUCCAAGGGGUGACAUUUGAACUCUGAGGUGAGAUAGUCCAUCACAUCUCACCCUCUAGGGUGUGGCUAAGAACCUGAAACUCUUCUGAACCAGAGACAUUCACACAUGCUGUUGGAAAACAUUUAGAAAACCUCCCGGCCAGAGAGAAAACUUACCUCAUUAGGAGGAGCUGAAAACAUGCACCAAAGAGCUGAUGAUAGCUCCAGGCAAGCUUGUCACCUUGUGGCUCUGAGGAUAUAAAGAUUCUUGAAAUGCCCUCAACAUGGAAGGAAUGCUAUAUUCCCUCCUCUUCACCUACCCAAAUUUUACCCAUCUUCUAAAAGCUUCAUCUUGAGAUUUGGUGUGAAUUGAUAUAGAAGGAAACAAGAAGAAGCAGUAGAACAAUUCCAUGAUGACCACAUUAACAUGAAGGAAAACAACUUGGAAAUAUUUCAGAACUCCUUUAAGGCCAACCUUGACUUCAGAAGGAUGAUGAUGGAGCAUGUCUCCUGCAUCUUUGUAGAGAGAGUUGCUGUUGCUGUGUACAAUAUUCUUCUGGUUCUGCUCACUUCACUCAGCAUCCUUUCAUCCAUUCCGGGGAUGGAGCCAAGAUGGCAGAGUGAAGCCAGGAAGCAGUUCAAGCUCUCUCAGUUUCCCUUGAGAACCAAAAGAAACCAAAUCUCUGAACAAAGUCUGGGACAACAAAACCUAAAAAAAGAUGGAAUGAAACAAUUUUCCAGCUCAAGGUUUUCAAUGACUGAGGGGGAUGACCUUGACUAUGGAAUCGGUGGAGAUGUGAAAAUUGCUUCCAGUUCUGGGCAGUGAUCCGAGCUGAAUGAGACAGCCCAGAGAGGUACUGACUAACCAAACUGGACAACCAAUGUUAAGACAGCUGGGUUGCACACAGAGAGGAGCAUGGUUUUGCUGCUUCCCAGGUGGCCAGACAAAAGGAUAUAAGGAGAAGGGCAAAGGGGAAGUAAGAAGAAUGUCCACUGUUUGCAGACCCUGUGAGAACUGUCACUAAACAGAAGUUACUAGGAGGCUUGGGGGCUAACUAAAGAUAACCAGUAGCAGAUUUUUCUCAGAGAUAUAAACUGGGGUGGGGAUGGAGGGAGGAAAGCAAACCAAAUAAAAUUUUGUUUAGGACAUUAUAAGAUUGAUGGAGUCUAGUUAAAAAAAGAGUCCUACUCAACCCUCUUCUGAGCAGAGAAUGAUACUCAAUGUGUGGGAAAUCCCUUGGCGACUCAUUUCGGUUUAAGAACUGUUUUAACAAUUACAUUUUGACAUUUUAACAAUAAUUGAUUAUUAGUGAUUUGAAGAAUAUUUUCAUGUAACUAUUAAUAUAUUGGAUUUCUGCUCUUGAGAACUGCCUAUUCAUAUCCUUUUGACCACAUCAAUUAGAGAAUGGCUUUUAUUCUUACAAGCAUGAAUCACUUCCUUUAUAUAUCUUAGAAAUGAGACCUUUGUCACAGAAAUUUUCAGCAAAGAUUGAAACUUUUUGGAUAAGAGAAAUGUGCCUAUGGAUAUUAUAAGGAGAAAAGAUAAUACUGUUAAUUGAAAAAAAACAAUGCUAUGUUACAAUAGAAUUGGCUAUGCUGUGAGGCACUAUACUAAUAUAUUUCAUCAAAGACUAGAUGACUAGUUGGAAAUGGAACUAUUUCUGCAUUGGGAAGAUGCAGAAUGAAUAACCUCUGAAUUUUUUUGUAAUUCUUAAAUACCAACGUACAUCGACUUCUACUUUGUGCUGGGAGAUCAGAAAUAAUACAUGAAAAAGAAGAGAAACACCUAGGAAGAAGCUCCGAAGCUCAUGGUGCUGUCGUCACAAGGAUAAAAGACUAGUAAGACUCUACAGCCAUCUACUGGCAAAAUUCAAGGGAUUUAUUUAUUUAGAUUCAUCAGUGCACUGUGGAAUAUGUGGAAGCCCUCCCCCCAAAAAAUAUAUUUACUAGUAAAAAGAUGAAGACAAAUCCAGGUCAGAAAGUGCUCUUCAGUCUUUGGCCAAUGCUGUCAUAUUUAACUGUUUUGAAGAAGAGUUAGGGACUAAAACUUAAGACCAUCGGAACUUUAUUUUGCUGCAUGACAAACAUGAGUUUUCCUUCUGAAGAAGCCUCAACAAUCAAAUUACAAUUGUAGCUUUCUGGAACCUGUUUAUGUACACAUAAACGCAUAUGUGUUUUGUAAACCCCCUGUUAAAUCUUCACUUUAAUAUUCAAUCUUUUCAAUUUCA